ACACUCCUACGGGAGGCAGCAGUAGGGAAUCUUCCACAAUGGGUGCAAACCUGAUGGAGCAAUGCCGCGUGAGUGAAGAAGGUCUUCGGAUCGUAAAGCUCUGUUGUUAGAGAAGAACACGUGCUAGGUAACUACUAGCGCCUUGACGGUAUCUAACCAGAAAGUCACGGCUAACUACGUGCCAGCAGCCGCGGUAAUACGUAGGUGACAAGCGUUGUCCGGAUUUAUUGGGCGUAAAGGGAGCGCAGGCGGUCUGUUUAGUCUAAUGUGAAAGCCCACGGCUUAACCGUGGAACGGCAUUGGAAACUGACAGACUUGAAUGUAGAAGAGGAAAAUGGAAUUCCAAGUGUAGCGGUGGAAUGCGUAGAUAUUUGGAGGAACACCAGUGGCGAAGGCGAUUUUCUGGUCUAACAUUGACGCUGAGGCUCGAAAGCGUGGGGAGCGAACAGGAUUAGAAACCCCUGUAGUCCCAUGAU
rnacentral:rRNA from 1 species